CAUAGGUUAAUGAGGCGAACCGGGGGAACUGAAACAUCUAAGUACCCCGAGGAAAAGAAAUCAACCGAGAUUCCCCCAGUAGCGGCGAGCGAACGGGGAGGAGCCCAGAGCCUGAAUCAGUGUGUGUGUUAGUGGAAGCGUCUGGAAAGGCGCGCGAUACAGGGUGACAGCCCCGUACACAAAAAUGCACAUGCUGUGAGCUCGAUGAGUAGGGCGGGACACGUGGUAUCCUGUCUGAAUAUGGGGGGACCAUCCUCCAAGGCUAAAUACUCCUGACUGACCGAUAGUGAACCAGUACCGUGAGGGAAAGGCGAAAAGAACCCCGGCGAGGGGAGUGAAAAAGAACCUGAAACCGUGUACGUACAAGCAGUGGGAGCCUCUUUAUGGGGUGACUGCGUACCUUUUGUAUAAUGGGUCAGCGACUUAUAUUCUGUAGCAAGGUUAACCGAAUAGGGGAGCCGAAGGGAAACCGAGUCUUAACUGGGCGUUAAGUUGCAGGGUAUAGACCCGAAACCCGGUGAUCUAGCCAUGGGCAGGUUGAAGGUUGGGUAACACUAACUGGAGGACCGAACCGACUAAUGUUGAAAAAUUAGCGGAUGACUUGUGGCUGGGGGUGAAAGGCCAAUCAAACCGGGAGAUAGCUGGUUCUCCCCGAAAGCUAUUUAGGUAGCGCCUCGUGAAUUCAUCUCCGGGGGUAGAGCACUGUUUCGGCAAGGGGGUCAUCCCGACUUACCAACCCGAUGCAAACUGCGAAUACCGGAGAAUGUUAUCACGGGAGACACACGGCGGGUGCUAACGUCCGUCGUGAAGAGGGAAACAACCCAGACCGCCAGCUAAGGUCCCAAAGUCAUGGUUAAGUGGGAAACGAUGUGGGAAGGCCCAGACAGCCAGGAUGUUGGCUUAGAAGCAGCCAUCAUUUAAAGAAAGCGUAAUAGCUCACUGGUCGAGUCGGCCUGCGCGGAAGAUGUAACGGGGCUAAACCAUGCACCGAAGCUGCGGCAGCGACGCUUAUGCGUUGUUGGGUAGGGGAGCGUUCUGUAAGCCUGCGAAGGUGUGCUGUGAGGCAUGCUGGAGGUAUCAGAAGUGCGAAUGCUGACAUAAGUAACGAUAAAGCGGGUGAAAAGCCCGCUCGCCGGAAGACCAAGGGUUCCUGUCCAACGUUAAUCGGGGCAGGGUGAGUCGACCCCUAAGGCGAGGCCGAAAGGCGUAGUCGAUGGGAAACAGGUUAAUAUUCC
rnacentral:rRNA from 1 species